UUUUUUUUUUUUUUUUUUUUUUUUUUUUUUUCCAACACGUG
rnacentral:ribozyme from 1 species